UACGUAGGGCGCGAGCGUUGUCCGGAAUUAUUGGGCGUAAAGAGCUCGUAGGUGGCUUGUCACGUCGGUUGUGAAAGCCCGGGGCUUAACCCCGGGUCUGCAGUCGAUACGGGCAGGCUAGAGUUCGGUAGGGGAGAUCGGAAUUCCUGGUGUAGCGGUGAAAUGCGCAGAUAUCAGGAGGAACACCGGUGGCGAAGGCGGAUCUCUGGGCCGAUACUGACGCUGAGGAGCGAAAGCGUAGGGAGCGAAC
rnacentral:rRNA from 1 species